GAUGAACGCUGGCGGCGUGCUUAACACAUGCAAGUCGAACGGAGUUAUGAUGAAACCUAGUGAUUCAUAACUUAGUGGCGGACGGGUGAGUAACGCGUGGGUAACCUGCCUUGCACAGGGGGAUAACACUUAGAAAUAGGUGCUAAUACCGCAUAAGCGCACAGUACCGCAUGGUACAGUGUGAAAAACUCCGGUGGUGCAAGAUGGACCCGCGUCUGAUUAGCUAGUUGGUGAGGUAACGGCCCACCAAGGCGACGAUCAGUAGCCGGCCUGAGAGGGUGACCGGCCACAUUGGGACUGAGACACGGCCCAAACUCCUACGGGAGGCAGCAGUGGGGAAUAUUGGACAAUGGGGGAAACCCUGAUCCAGCGACGCCGCGUGAGUGAAGAAGUAUUUCGGUAUGUAAAGCUCUAUCAGCAGGGAAGAUAAUGACAGUACCUGACUAAGAAGCACCGGCUAAAUACGUG
rnacentral:rRNA from 1 species